rnacentral:lncRNA from 1 species
UGAGAUCAUGAAUGGCAAACUGGAGGGGCUAAUUUAUGAGUGCGUGUGCUUAUAAAUAGGGUCUCUAGCUAGCUAGUACUCACAUCAACACAAGCACGAGAAAACACUUCCAUUUUUCUAGAUAGAGCUUUGAGCCGCAACAUCCGCCUUCCGCUCUUGCAAUGGCUUCCAGCUCCGUGCUUAAGAUGGCCGCCAUUUUCGUGCUGGCCGUAUUCGCCCGCCAGGCACUGAUGGCUACGCCGGCGAUGGCAGAAGGACUAGGUUACCGACACAACCUUUUGGAGAAGUAUGAUGAGACGCAAUGUCGCGGAUACGCCACAUGCAAUAUUGUAUGCUUCUACCAAGUUUUUCAAGUCUGCAUCAUCUACAGCCCUGUUGCAUUCUGCAACACUUGGGCGUUUGGGUUCUGCAAGGACAAGAGAUACUGAGGCAUAAAUAGCAGUGCAGCUCCUUUUGGGAUGCAUGCACAACUACACGAGCAACUCACCUCAUCAGUGUCAACUAUUAUUGUUCCUUCGUUAUUGGCGCUGUGCGUUGUAAGAGUCCUAAUAUGUUCCUCCCUUUAUUUCCAACUAUCAUGUAUCAGUGGCUUAACCAACUAUUUAAUUCCUAUAUUGUCUGUCAUCAUGGUACUUGUUCAACUAAAAAUCCCCCGUCGAAUACAAAUGUAUGUGUCGUGUGAUUAUAAAAUGGUUCCGCCACUGCAACAUUUUUCAGUCCAUGAUGGCCAUAUAAGCAUGCUCUUUCCACCCUUACCCAUGAAUCUUUUUUCAUGAAUGACCAUUCGUUUGACAGAUUUGGCAUGUGGUUCGACAAAAUGCCAUAAAAAAUAAAGGAUGCAAAAAUAUAAUAAGGGAGCUUGAAGCUGAAUUGGCACUAACCUUGUAAAUACUUUUGGUAGUGGACAAGACAAAUACUACAUAGGCCAUCGCCACACCCAGUUUCGCACGAUCAUCGCAGAUGAUGCGAUGUUUGACAACAUAUACAUUCUAAACGGACACUCAGGGCCCGCAAGGCAUAGAGGGGGAGGUCAUAAGCGCCUAUACCGUAAAAUAGAUUUUCGACGGAAUCAAAAAGACAUAUCUGGUAGAAUCGUAACCAUAGAAUACGACCCUAAUCGAAAUGCAUACAUUUGUCUCGUAGGGUGACCAGCGUUGCUUCCAUGUUAAUCCGGGCCCAUAGGGUACGAAAGUUUCUCCUUCUGUGAGUCCCUAUCACGUGGAACCCACAUCAACUGCCGUGAUUGCAUUGGCUUUCAGGGACCGAAUACAUCGAAUCGGGGUUUUCGAGCGGUCUCUCCUUAUUUACCUUGAGUACCCCAAACCCAUUGAGGUCACUUGCUGACGCUCUCUAGUAGUCGUCCAGGUGCUUGGGUCAUCCUUCUUCUGGCUAGUCGCUUUGGCAUCGAUCCUUUGGACAUUUGCUUCAAUCCCCCAAGAACGUCUUUCACUGCCCCUACCACAGAUGCUACCGAAAAGAGUUCCGACAUUGAGCAAGUAUUUUCUUGGACUAUCCCGAUCAAACAUCUCUCAUGCCUCAUUCUACCUUUGAAAACUGAAAUUAUAUCCAGGUACGAUAGAUCCGUGGGAAGUCAUUCCUUUGCCUCAGAAAUCCGCAAUUCCCAGAUGAAAAAUCCUAUUUCAAGCUCCUCUAGUUUCUUAAACCAGCACUGUUUCAUUUUCCAGCAGGGAUACUCCUGAAAAAGGGCUUCCGUUCAAAGUGGAAAGAAAGAGACCUGUCCGUUCUCCCUAUUUGCCUAGCGGUUAAGUAGAAUGUAGGGCCCCUCCUAGGCCACGCAACCAAGAGUCACUUGUCGAAAGUUGACCAGGAAGACAAUAACUAUCGAGGCUGGAAUAGAUAGAUGAAACUCUAAAAUGUUUCACCUUCUUCUAUGGUCAUUCUUAUUUUCAUGAAGCUCACAUGUAAGCUUCGUCAGGCUUGUGGACAUCACAACGCCCAUUCACAUGUAUUUCUUCAACAUGCAAGCACUUCAUUAGGGCCGCUGUUUUUUUGGAAGUGGGUUCACUGUUUACGCCUCCAUGGAAUCUGGCUAGCUCGAAGAGUCCCCAGAUGACGUCGAGUUGCUCCUGGCACCCAGCUAGGCAUGAUCUAUGGUUCUCUCCUCAUUCCCAGUGAUGUGAUAAAUGAUUGGGACCGUUCACCUAGAACGGAAAAUCAUUGAAGGGGACUGAGGAAGGAGUUGGGCGUUUCCUAACUUCCAUUGCCAGAGUGGUUUUUUUACACCAGGGGAUGUUCCACCUACAUUGCACCCAUGAUAAUCACUAAAAUUGACAAAAAAUAUCUAAAUAAUUUGAAUUUGCGGGCUCGGCUGUGACCAAUUGUUUAGGGUGCUUAUUUGGUGGCCAAAUGACAUCCGAGGAGCUCUUUACAUAAAAAAUAUAUCAAAUUUUGUCCUGAAAGUUAUGUAAGCAUAGUUUGAGCAGAAGUUGUAUUUUGUAUAUAUGAAGCUCAUUUGAUACUAUUUGUUCACCAAACUAUGCGAGCACCUAAAACACUUGUUCAAUAAUGCCCCAAAGUUUUUUUUCUAUUUGUUAUGAUUUACUCUUCAGCGUGGGUAAAUUGCACUUUGGUGUAGCCACAACUUUUCCUUCCCAUCCCGCAUAUCUGAUGGUAGCAAGCUCGGUGUACAUCUUCACCCAUGGUGAGUAAACAACUCCUUGGUUGGCCGCUCCACCUAGAUAUGUGUCGCCAAAAGCAACUCCAGAUGUUCCUGUAGCUGAAGUGACGACCAUAUAUGAACCCCGUGGAUACUUGAACAUAUAACUUGGAGAGGAGAAUAUAUCUUCUUUCAUCAAAUAUCACAUUAUUUCUACGUAACUACACUGACUAUCAAAUUUUGCAUUCGUUAUAUAUUUCUCUCAAAUUUUGCUAAAACCAAAAUAUUUUUUUAAUACACAUGAAAUUUCCAUGUAACAAUUUGCGUAAAACAUCAUCUACACAACUAAUGAAUCAACUGGGAUGCAACAUGCAUACAUCUAAUUAGCUCGUGGUAAUUGUUUAAAUAUGUCAAGUUCAAUCAAUGAAUCUUUUUUCAUGAAUGACCAUUCGUUUGACAGAUUUGGCAUGUGGUUCGACACAAUGCCAUAAGAAAUAAAGGAUGCAAAAAUAUAAGGGAGCAUGAAGCUGAAUUGGCACUAACCUUGUUAAUAUUUUUCGUAGUGGACAAGACAAAUACUACACAGGCCAUCGCCACACCCAGUUUCGCUAGCUCAUCGCAGAUGAUGCGAUGUUUGACAACAUAUACAUUCUAAACGGACACUCAAGGCCCAUAGGGUGACCAGCGUUGCUUCCAUGUUAAUAUGGGCCCACAGGGUAUGAAAGUUUUUCUUCUGUGAGUCCCUAUCAUGUGGAACCCACGUCAGUUGUCGUGAUUGCGUUGGCUUUCAGCGACCGAAUACAUCGAAUCGGGGUUUUCGAGCAUUCUCUCCUUAUUUACCUUGAGUACCCCAAACCCAUUGAGGUCGCCUGCCGACGCUCUCUAGUAGUCGUCCAGGUGCUUGGGUCAUCCUUCUUCUGGCUAGAGUCGCUUUGGCAUCGAUCCUUUGGACAUUUGGUUCAAUCCCCCAAGAGCGUCUAUCACUGCCCCUACCGCAGAUAGUACCGAAAAGAGUUCUGGCAUUGAGCGAGCAUUUUCUUGGACUAUCCUGAUCAAACAUCUCGCAUGCCUCAUUCUACCUUUGAAAACUGAAAUUUUAUCCAGGUACAAUAGAUCCGUGGGAAGUCAUUCCUUUGCCUCAGAAACCCGCAAUUCCCAGAUAGAAAAUCCUAUUUCCCGCUCCUCUAGUUUCUUAAACCAGCGCUGUUUCUAUUUCCAGCAGGGAUAGUCCCGAAAAAAGGGCUUCCAUUCAAAGUGGAAAGAAAGAGACCGGUUUGUUCUCCCUCUUUGCCUAUCAGUUAAGUCGAUUGUAGGUCCCCUCCCAGGCCUCGCAACCAAGAGUCACUUGUCGAAAGUUGACCAGGAAGACAAGAACUAUCGAGGCUGGAAUAGAUAGAUGAAACUCUAAAAUGUUUCACCUUCUUCUAUGGUCAUUCUUAUUUUCAUGAAGUUGAAAUUGUGCUCGCACAUGUAAGCUUAAUCAGGUUUGUGGACGUCACAACCCCCAUUGUCCUGUAUCUCUUCAACAUGCAAGCACUUAGUUAGGGCUGGUGUUUUUUUUUGGAAGUGGGUUCACUGUUUACGCCUCCAUAGAAUCCGGCUAGCUCAAAGAGUCCCCAGAUUACGUCGAGUUGCUCCUGGCACCUUGCUAGGCACGAUCUAUGGUUUUCUCCUCAUUCCAGUGAUGUCAUAAAUGAUUGGGACCGUUCACCUAGAACGGAAAAUCAUUGAAGGGUAGUGAGGAAGGAGUUGGGCGUUUCCUAACUUCCAUUGCCUACACCAGGGGACGUUCCACUUACAUUGCACCCAUGAUAAUCACUAAAGUCGAAAAAAUAGCUAAAUAAUUUGAAUUUGCGGGCUCGGCUGCGACCAAUUGUUUAGUGUGCUUAUUUGGUGGCCAAAUGACAUCCGAGGAGCUCUUUACAUAUAAACAUAUCAAAUUUGGUCCUCAAAGUUAUGUACGCAUAGCUUGAGCAAAAGUUGUAUUUUGUAUAUAUGAAGCUCAUUUGAUAAUAUUUGGUCACCAAACUAUGCAAGCACCUGAAACACUUGUUCAAUAAUGCCCCAAAGUUUUUUUCUAUUUUUUAUGAUUUUACUCUUUAGCGUGGGUAAAUUGCACUUCGGUGUAGCCACAACUUUUCCUUCCCUUCCCGCAUCUCUGAUGGUAGCAAGCUCGAGGUACCGGUCAGGAGUUUUUAGCUGGAAGGAUGUGGCGAUCGUGACUCCAAGGUCAUAUCUAUCCAGGGGUACUAUUCUGGGGACAAAGCCAUUAGGAGUUGCUUUUGACCGUGAUCCUUUUGACCAGUUAUCGCAAUGCCCAAACUUUGCUACAUUAACAUACAUGAAUUUGUAUGACAGUGGGAAGUAACAUCGAAUUAUGAAAAUGAUACAGGGAGACAAUCUUCCCCUUUCGGCCCCCACGAUGCAAAUAACAACCUUACUCCUACUUGUCUAGAAUUAUAUGUAUCAACAGGUAUAGUGUGUGUGAGGGGGUGAGGGGGAUCCUGCGAGCCUUGUACACUAGGUUUCUAGCACAUUUGGUGACCAGUCUUGACCAGAUGUGCAAGUUCAGAUCUAGUCUAGGCCUGAAGCUAGGGCUUCCAUUCAGUCAUCUUGGCCCUCCAAGCAGAAGUUGUCACCUCUUGUUCAGGUGCUAAUGUAUUUAUAAAUGGUUUGGGGUCAGAUGGACGCCUUCCUUUCCUAGCCUUCCGUUCGUGAAAAGCUUUAUAAUCCCACUGUCAUGACAUGUCCUCCCUCCUUUAAAGGAGUUCCUGGGGUACCCGUCAUCCUAAUUUCACUGCUAGGAGUGACCCUCCGUGGGAGUUGGUUUGACAUUCAUGAAAGUUUCCUUCAGGCUUACACGGCUUGGCAUGGGCCCGAUCCACCUCUUUCCUACAACAUAUGACCUACCCGUAUACUACACCUUCACCCAUGGUGAGUAAACAACCCCUUGGUUGCCCGCUCCACCAGAUACGUGCUGCCAAAAGCAACUCCUGAUGUUCUGUAGCUGAAGUGAUGACAAGAUCUGAACCCGGUGGAUACUUGAGCAGAUAACUUGGAGAGGAGAAUAUAUCUUCUUUCUUAAAAUUUUGCAUUCGUUAUAUAUUUCUCUCAAAUUUUUCUAAAACUAAUUUUUUUAGUACAAAUGAAAUUUCCAUGUAACAAUUUGCGUAAAACAUCAUCUACACAACUAAUGAAUCAACUGGGAUGCAACAUGCAUAUAUCUAAUUAGCUCGUGGUAUUAUUUAAAUAUGUCAAGUUGAAUCAAUGAUAAAUAAAAAAAAUAAGAAAUUAACUAUAAAAUAUUUCAAUAUUAAUUAAUGUGGAUGACAGACAUAAUGUAACCAUGACUCCCUGACAGGUAGGUAGUACAAACGGCAGGGUUGAUUUUAUAUCCGUGUGUUGCUUCUGAUAAUUUACCUGUCGGCAAACAAAAAGAAUAAUGAUAGAUCAAACUAUGUGCUUUUGGUUAGCAGCAUACGCGAAACACAGUUGAAGAACUGUAAUGAUGGUAUGCCAUGAGAUGCUUUCCUAGGUGAGUAAUUUAUGAUCUCGAGAUGCCCUUCACACACUUACCUAAGUUGACAACUAACUCUAUAAUGCCAUUAAGACUUGAACACUAUUGUUUUAUACUAUUUUCGACUUAAUAAUGAAUCUUGGUGCCAUGGUGAUAGUAUAUUUUAGACUCGGAUCAUGGCAUACACAAGGAUCAUCUAUCGAUUAUUAAUUAAGUGCUAAAUUAUGUGGUGGCAAUAUAUGGACCUAGCUGGCUUGAGAUUUGCUACAUGCAGGGGAGUACGACAACAUCAAUUAUAUCAUGCAUGAUGAGAUUGAGCUUACACAAACUUGUAUUAUCAUGCGUCUACUUUUGAAAUAUACAUAAAAAGGAAGUAAAAUUUGUAGGAAAAAUUAUUGGCUGGUCAAAUAAUUUCAUUCUUCUGGAAUGUAUGACCAUAUUAAUAAUGAAGUACUUGAUUAGACUAAAGCUUCUACAGAACCCUCUCAGGUAAACGCCAUGAUGGUGUUGCAUCUACCCUUAUAUGCUUAUGUCUGGAACACAUGCUCUGCUUUUGGAUUUAUCUCCAUAAAAAAUACACUAUUCGAGGAAUCGUCAGAGUUUUCCCCGGGUUUAAAGUUUAUACUAAAAUUUGUAAUUUUGAUUAGCAGUAUAAGGGUCGGUAAAAUGCCAUUCAAGAUAUGUAUUGACGGUAACGCGCAAGGCGCUCUCAUAGGUGUGUAAUUGAUGAUCUUAAGAUGCUCUAUGCGCUCGUGGUUGUUUGGUUAAAUAAAAUUAGCCAUGAGUUUAUGGAAAAUUAGUUGUUAGCUGGUUUUUAGUAAAAUCCUUUUUGCUAGCAGUUUUGUGAAUAAUCAGUAUAGGAAAAAUAGUGUUAGGGAUUAGGAAACUGUAAAGACGGACAUGCAUUUACUUGUUUGGAUAAAAUUCCAUAUUCCUCUCUCUGUGAGUUGUGGAAGGAGGAUGGCAAGAAAAAAGUUUGGGGCGUGAGGAAGUUAGUUAGGAUCCCGUAUUGCUAUUGCGUUUUAAAAAAACAAAUAGUAGUUUUUCUACAAAUGUAAAAUCGUGAGUUUACUUGAAAAAAGGUCUUCAUAUACGCGGGUUAGUUAGAAUAGCCAAGAAAGAUUCUAUUCGGUUAGACAGUUUUUCAAGUUUAUAGGAAUUGCGUUUUGUAUAUACUAUCUAUCCUACCAACCCUAGCUAAGUUGUGAACUCUAUAACGCCAUCAAUACUUGAACGUACUACAGUUCUGUCUUGUUUGGACUCCCGACUGAAUCAUGGUAGUUGUACAUUUUUUACUCAGUGCAUGUCACACACACCAUGAUUAUCUACUGAUUGUUAAGUGCUAGGUAUGUGUUGGCAAGAUAUCCAACUAGUUGGCUUGAUAUUGGGUACAUGCAGGGGAGUACUCCAAAGUCAACUAUAUAUCAUGAUGGGAUCAAGCAUACAUAAACAUGUAUUAUCAUGCAUGUUCGUAUGAUAGUGCAGUAUCAGCUCUGAGAUCAUGAAUGGCAAACUGGAGGGGCUAAUUUAUGAGUGCGUGUGCUUAUAAAUAGGGUCUCUAGCUAGCUAGUACUCACAUCAACACAAGCACGAGAAAACACUUCCAUUUUUCUAGAUAGAGCUUUGAGCCGCAACAUCCGCCUUCUGCUCUUGCAAUGGCUUCCAGCUCCGUGCUUAAGAUGGCCGCCAUUUUCGUGCUGGCCGUAUUCGCCGGCCAGGCACUGAUGGCUAAAACGGCGAUGGCAGAAGGACUAGGUUACCGACACAACCUUUUGGAGAAGUAUGAUGAGACGCAAUGUCGCGGAUACGCCACAUGCAAUAUUGUAUGCUUCUACCAAGUUUUUCAAGUCUGCAUCAUCUACAGCCCUGUUGCAUUCUGCAACACUUGGGCGUUUGGGUUCUGCAAGGACAAGAGAUACUGAGGCAUAAAUAGCAGUGCAGCUCCUUUUGGGAUGCAUGCACAACUACACGAGCAACUCACCUCUUCAGUGUCAAGUAUUAUUGUUCCUUCGUUAUUGGCGUUGUGCGUUGUAAGAGUCCUGAUAUGUUCCUCCCUUUAUUUCCAACUAUCAUGUAUCAGUGGCUUAACCAACUAUUUAAUUCCUUCAUUGUCUGUCAUCAUGGUACUUGUUCAACUAAAAAUCCCCCGUCGAAUACAAAUAUAUGUGUCGUGUGAUUAUAAAAUGGUUCCGCUGCUGCAACAUUUUUCA